CCCCCGCAGUGAUUUCCUCAUCCUGCCCGGCUUCAUCGACUUCACCGCGGACGAGGUGGACCUGACCUCGGCGCUGACCCGAACCAUCACCCUCAACACCCCCCUGGUCUCGGCCCCCCUGGACACCGUCACCGAGGCCGACAUGGCCAUCGCCAUGGCCCUGAUGGGCGGCAUCGGCAUCAUCCACCACAACUGCACCCCCGAGUUCCAGGCCAACGAGGUGCGCAAGGUGAAG
rnacentral:lncRNA from 1 species